AAGAGGCAAACAGGCAGCUCGAAAUGAUUCUCCUGUGCUGUGAGGGACAAAGUGAAUAAAUGCUAACAUGUCGUAUCUCUAGUUCUCAGGUCCUUAAAAAGUUUCUAAGAAACUCCUAUUACUCCAGAAAUACAUUUUGAAUGUUUCCCACCGUUUGGAAAAAAGCAAAAUAGUUUUAAAAUAAACAGUGUGUGUAUGCAUAGAAUAUUUAACUCCAAGAUUUUUUAAGGAAAUUUUGCAAAAAAAAAAAAUUUUACAGCACACAACUGUUUAAUCAUUAACGAGAAAGUACUUUGCACCUACUGUGGUUUCAUGAUGAGCCAGAAAAUCACUGAAGGGACUAUUAACAAAACGUGCCUCUGGGAAGUCACCCAAGGAAUAGUUCUUGUUAUUUUAUGGCCACGUAUAGUCUAUAGAGUUCAGGAAAUUUAAUAUUGAGUUAAAUCAGAUUAAACUAUGCUUGUACACUUUAUUAAAUCUACUUCUAAAAUGUUAGCAUCAAUAAAUUAUUCUAAAUUGGUGAAAUGAAGCAGAAUGACUAGCAUUUAAAGAAACCCUAAUGGGAAUUAUUUUGUAAAUCAUGCAGUCACCUCCUGAUUUGUUUUGUUCAACAUGUACUCUGCAAACAUUUGGAUUUUAUUAGGAAAUAACUAAAUUUAGGAGGGAAUUUAAACUGCAUUCUCUAACAUUAAUUUUUAAAACUGCUGCAUAUGAAAAUUAUUCCCAGAAUGCAAAAACAACUGAAGUUUCUAAUGUUCUUUACAUUCAACAGGCGCCCCAGCAGCCUUCUUUGCUCAUCACCCCACCGCUCAACCACCAAGCUGUCAUGGGAUGAUGGCGACCUCUAGAGGCCACACUUAGAAACUGUCUGAUGUAAAGUUCAGCCUCUCCAGGCUCUUAGAAGAAUCAUCAAUAGAGCUUUUCCUUAGGGCUCUGAGAAUCGUGAAUACAUAGAGCUUUUCUUUUCUCUCCCAUGUUUUGCUGCUCACAGCCCAGGCAGUUACUUGGAGGCGCAGGUGAAUUGCUCCUUAUGGCUGCACCAUUUGGAUUUCGUGGUUUCCAGAUCACUGCAUCAGAGAAAGGAGAACUGAGGGCCCUUCUCUUAAACACUUUAGAAGCCCAACAGUCAUGCUGAGGAACUUGGCCCACCUAACCCCAAGGUUCCAGAAAACAUGGGUGUCACAUGGAUUUUUCACUGAGCAAUAAAUGUCUCUGUCACACAGUGUAUUUGAAAAAU
rnacentral:lncRNA from 13 species